CGAUCUUGUUUUUCUCAGAUGUAGUUGUUUGCUAUAUCAUUCUGUUCCCUUCAAUUCUUCUGUUGUCAUUAAUUUUUUCCUUAUCAUUAUAUGUCAAUAAUAGACUUUAUAAAUUGGUUGAGGUCAAAAGUAAGGAGAGGGAGGUUGUUCUUUUGUUUUCCUUUUUCCAUUUUGCUUGCCUGUUUGGUGUUGAUUGUGUACAUCGAGCCUAUCUUGCUACUCUCUUUUCAGAAGCUUUAUUAUUAUAUCCUCUUGCUUGCCUAUAAAAAAUCAGUUUUCCCACAUAUCUGUUUCAUCAAAUGGUCCUAGAAGAUCACUAUUUUAUCUUCGAUUUUUUUUCUCACUCCUUUGUUUAUAUAAUUUUCAGGAUUGUUAAAUUAAUAAGCUAGGUUUCAGUUCUUUCCAGUUUUUUUUUUGUUAUAAUUUCUUCUUAUUUUAAAAUCUCUUACCAGUUACAUAGGUGAGAAUUGUCCUUUGCUUGUUAAUGGUCUUCAUUGAAUCCAGGGGACAAUUAGUAGAUUGAAAGAGUUUAUGGGGGGAGAGUACCUUAUAGGUUUGCUGGAGAAGCUGUUUAACAACUAUUCUUGAGAAUGACAGAAGGCCAAAUAGGCUAAUUAUGUGAGGGGUUUUUUGUGUUUUAAAGUGUAAAAUUACUAGUUGAAUUGCGCUAUUGAUGAAAAGCUUAUUAGUCAGAGAAGAGAGACUUCAAAAAUAAUUUCUCCAAGCCCAAUCAAAGUGUGAAACAUGUAUCAAGUUGAAAUGAUUUUGUUCCAUUAAUGGAAAGAUAGUGAGGGAGCAGUAAAAACCUUCCAUAGGGCUGUAUGCAAUUGUAUUUUUAAUCUUUACUAAAUUGUCUAAAAAAUUCAUGUAGCUGUAUUCCAUGUUUAGCUUUUUAUUUUUUUGGUGGAAUUGCAUUCCCUUUUGUAAUUGCAUUUGGACAAUUGGGUUGUUGGCAAUGUCAAAAUAUUGAGUGAAAGCUCUUUGACAUUUUUUUUAACGGGUAAAUGGAUUGAACUUGGAAUCUUCCUGUCCUGAUCCUAACUCCUUGUUACCUGAUCAUACCUUGAUGCAUAUAGAAUUAUAGAUCAAAAUAUACUAUUAUGAUUUCUGGUCAUUCCUACUUCACUGCAGUAGUUGUUGAUGAUACAUGUGCUGGUUGCUUAUACACCAUGUCAUUAAGCUGCCACAGAGAAUGCAUGUCAUUUAUGUGUGUUGUAGAUGUGUACUUUUUUCUAUUAUUAAUUUAUACAUACCUAUCUUUAUCUAUCAAAAAAGAAUAAAGAAAAGAGUGUUAUAGAUGGUACAUAUUGUCAUUGUAAUUGCAAAAUCAGUUAGUGACUAACCACAAUGAGAGACAGCUUAAGCGUUAAUGCUGCUAUAAUUGCCACUAUUACCUUGGCAAGCUGACAGAAGGAAGUGCUCUUUACCAUGUUAAAAUUAGUGACAUUCUAUGAGGAGAGGGUGGGGUUUGGUCAGGUGCUGCUUUCGCAAUGAAGAAAAUGGGUCAGCUGUGCACAUCCUUACCCAGUGCAAAUGGACUACUUGUUUUGGCCUUUGAUGUUCUCUCUGUUUGGUGUUUUGGGUCCCUUUUCCAUUUUGUUAAGGAUGCCUUCUUCAGUUGCAUGGCUCCAUUCUCUGAUAUAAGCACAAAAGUGUAGAAGCUGAUCCCUCUGGGUUUCUUUGGGUUUAAUUGAAAAGAGUGAAAGAGGACAACUUUUGAACAAGUGGUAUCAUGCUUAGAAAUGAAGGAUGUGCAUUUAAGACCUUGUUUUGAUUUGGACCCAUGGCAGUUCAAGUUCCUAAUUAUCCAUGUUGGACUUUGUUGAUAGUUUGGGGAAUAGUUAGCUUGGGUGCGAUGUUUUUAUUUUCUUGUGGUGGUACUUGGGUUAUGCACACUUCUGUUUAAUUCUUAUGAAACAUUUUUGUUUGCCUAUAAAAAAAGGGUGACAUCUUUUCAAAACUUUGUAAAAGAUUAGUUUGGCCUGUUGUAAUGGCCUGGUCAUUUGAAUUGCCACCUUCACAACUGUACUUUUCCAUUGAGGUUCUUUUGUUAUGUAUUUGCACAGAUUUCUGACAUAUCUCUGGAGGACUACAUUGCUGUGAAUCCAGCCAAGCAUGCCACCUAUGUCCCUCACACAGCUGGGAGGUAUUCUGUCAAGCGGUUCCGGAAAGCUCAAUGUCCAAUAGUGGAGAGGCUUACUAACUCUCUGAUGAUGCAUGGUCGCAACAACGGGAAGAAGCUGAUGGCAGUUCGAAUCAUUAAGCAUGCCAUGG
rnacentral:lncRNA from 1 species